rnacentral:rRNA from 1 species
UCAAGCAACUAAGCGUACGUGGUGGAUGCCUUGGCAGCCAGAGGCGAUGAAGGACGUGGUAGGCAACGAAAUGCUUCGGGGAGCCGUCAAACAGGCUUUGAUCCGGAGGUGUCCGAAUGGGGAAACCCGGCCCAUUUAUGGGUCAUCACAUGCUGAAUACAUAGGCAUGUGAGGCGAACGCAGGGAACUGAAACAUCUAAGUACCUGCAGGAAAAGAAAUCAAUUGAGAUUCCCUUAGUAGCGGUGAGCGAACGGGGAAAAGCCCUUAAGCAACAGCAGUGUUAGUGGAACGGUCUGGAAAGUCCGGCGACAGUGGGUGAUAGCCCCGUACACGAAAGCGCUGCAGUUGUGAAAACGAGUAGGUCGAAACACGUGUAAUUUUGACUGAAGAUGGGGGGACCAUCCUCCAAGGCUAAAUACUCCUGGCUGACCGAUAGUGAACUAGUACCGUGAGGGAAAGGCGAAAAGAACCCCGGAGAGGGGAGUGAAAUAGAUCCUGAAACCGCGUACGUACAAGCAGUAGGAGCAGACUUGUUCUGUGACUGCGUACCUUUUGUAUAAUGGGUCAGCGAGUUAAUGUCAGUAGCAAGGUUAACCGAAUAGGGGAGCCGUAGGGAAACCGAGUCUUAAUAGGGCGUUUAGUUGCUGGCAUUAGACCCGAAACCGGGCGAUCUACCCAUGGCCAGGUUGAAGGUGCCGUAACAGGCACUGGAGGACCGAACCCACUAAUGUUGAAAAAUUAGGGGAUGAGCUGUGGGUCGGAGUGAAAGGCUAAUCAAGCCCGGAGAUAGCUGGUUCUCCUCGAAAGCUAUUUAGGUAGCGCCUCGUGUCAUUGACUGCUGGGGGUAGAGCACUGUUUCGGCUAGGGGGUCAUCCCGACUUACCAACCCGAUGCAAACUCCGAAUACCUGUGAGUACUAUCCGGGAGACACACGGCGGGUGCUAACGUCCGUCGUGAAGAGGGAAACAACCCAGACCGCCAGCUAAGGUCCCCAAAUACCAGUUAAGUGGGAAACGAUGUGGGAAGGCUCAGACAGCUAGGAGGUUGGCUUAGAAGCAGCCAUCCUUUAAAGAAAGCGUAAUAGCUCACUAGUCGAGUCGGCCUGCGCGGAAGAUGUAACGGGGCUCAAACUGGUUACCGAAGCUGCGGCUGUGCACGCAAGUGCACGGGGUAGGGGAGCGUUCUGUAAGCCUGCGAAGGUGUGUCGAGAGGCAUGCUGGAGGUAUCAGAAGUGCGAAUGCUGACAUGAGUAACGACAAUGGGGGUGAAAAACCCCCACGCCGGAAGACCAAGGUUUCCUGCGCAACGCUAAUCGGCGCAGGGUGAGUCGGCCCCUAAGGUGAGACCGAAAGGUGUAAUCGAUGGGAAACGGGUUAAUAUUCCCGUACCUUGGAUCACUGCGAUGGAGAGACGGAGAAGGCUAGGUGAGCCGGGCGACGGUUGUCCCGGUUUAAGCGAGUAGGGAGUGGACUUAGGCAAAUCCGGGUCCACAAUCCCGAGACGCGACGACGACUGCCCUUUUAGGGCGGGAAGUCAUUGAUGCCCUGCUUCCAGGAAAAUCUUCUAAGCUUCAGGUGAUUCGAGACCGUACCCCAAACCGACACAGGUGGUCAGGUAGAGAAUACCAAGGCGCUUGAGAGAACUCGGGUAAAGGAACUAGGCAAAAUGGUGCCGUAACUUCGGGAGAAGGCACGCCGGUGGUAUGUGACGCCCUUCGCGGGUUGAGCAGAAGCCGGUCGAAGAUACCAGGCCCCUGCGACUGUUUAUUAAAAACACAGCACUGUGCUAACACGAAAGUGGACGUAUACGGUGUGACGCCUGCCCGGUGCCGGAAGGUUAAUUGAUGGGGUUAGCUUCGGCGAAGCUCUUGAUCGAAGCCCCGGUAAACGGCGGCCGUAACUAUAACGGUCCUAAGGUAGCGAAAUUCCUUGUCGGGUAAGUUCCGACCUGCACGAAUGGCGUAACGAUGGGGGCGCUGUCUCUACCCGAGACUCAGUGAAAUUGAAAUCGCCGUGAAGAUGCGGUGUAUCCGCGGCUAGACGGAAAGACCCCGUGAACCUUUACUAUAGCUUCACAGUGAACUUUGAGCAUGUUUGUGUAGGAUAGCUGGGAGGCUUUGAAACCAGGACGCCAGUUCUGGUGGAGCCAACCUUGAAAUACCAGCCUGACCUGUUUGAGGUUCUAACUUGGUCCCCUGAUCGGGGAUGAGGACACUGUGUGGUGGGUAGUUUGACUGGGGCGGUCUCCUCCCAAAGCGUAACGGAGGAGCACAAAGGUGGGCUAAGCACGGUCGGACAUCGUGCGGUUAGUGUAAUGGCACAAGCCCGCUUAACUGCGAGACAGACACGUCGAGCAGGUACGAAAGUAGGUCAUAGUGAUCC